UCACAACAUCAAUUUGUGUUUCUGACUGAUAACGAGGACAUUAAGUGUAACAAUUGCGCGAGAGCUUAAGAGCUGUAUUUUCAGACUUUGACAUCUCAUUGUAUAUGCACAGACAUUUAGUAAAUUACACUGUGUUCUGCUGUUAUCUAAUGGUAGUGCAUUUGAUGCUAUCAUGUAUUCCAUCGGGCCAUCUCAUCCUCCUGCGCUCCAUAGUGGACAAUGUGACGGUGAGACAGUGCAGAUUAAAUUUUAAGAACAAAUUUUGAUUUAAGAUUUGAGUUAGAUUUUGG